GUCCACGCUGUAAACGAUGAAUACUAGGUGUUGGGUUUUUAACUCAGUGCCGCAGCUAACGCAUUAAGUAUUCCACCUGGGAAGUACGAUCGCAAGGUUGAAACUCAAAGGAAUUGACGGGGGCCCGCACAAGCAGUGGAGCAUGUGGUUUAAUUCGAUGCAACGCGAAGAACCUUACCUAGGCUUGAAAGGCAAGUGACAGGGUAUGAAAGUACCCCUCCAGCAAUGGCACUUGUACAGGUGCUGCAUGGCUGUCGU
rnacentral:rRNA from 1 species